ensembl:lncRNA
GGGAAGGUGACGUCAGCGCGUACGGAAGUGUGGUUACGUGACAAUCUGCAGGAGAGUCCGUGAACUGUUACCUCAGCCUGUUCACCGUGGAAAGGUCAGCUACAAACCACAUGUAGCUUCAUUUUCUGUGAUUUUUUUCUAAUCUACAAUGGAGCCACGCAAACUGUCCGCCAGAAAACGUUUAACUAAACCCAUCCUGUUCGGGACGCUGAUUAUUGGACUGGCUGCAGCUUUCUUUAACAGACACCGGUUCUUCGAGGACGUGGCCGAGCUCAGGCUUCAGGAGCGAGAACGCAACUACGCCAAAAGGUUGGAGGUCCUGGAGAGGCGGCAGAAGCAGAUAGAAGAAGUGGCCGAGAAGAAGAAGCAGGCGGGAAGCAACUGAAUGUAGCAGCUAGAACCUCUGUGGUUCUGUACAGAGAUUCUCCAGCAGACUGUCCUGUUGAGUAGCUCUACAGAUUGAUGCAUCCUGCUGUCAACAGGCCGAUGUUAAAGACUAACCUGUUAAACAGAAGCCUUCAAACGCCUUCCCCUGGAGCUGCUGUCUGCAAUGGAUGUAUUUAAAUAAUCCUCACACAUUUGUAUAAAUACACAUGAAAAUAUCUGGACAUGUUUACUUUGCAAGAAGCCAAACUGUUCCCAUCAAUGUGUCUGUUUUGAGACAUGAUCAAUAAUCAAAACACCGUGUCCCAGAAGUUUGUUCUCCACACUGGACAACGUGUUUGAUUGUCACCAAAAUAGGUUCCACUGUCAGGGACUGUCUGGUUGUUUGUCUGUCAAACUGUCAGGUCCCAGUAAUAAAUUUCUUGUUUGACCAAAAUGCUUUACUCUUACAAACAAAUUUUAGAAUAGAAUAGAUGAGAGAAUAGAACAAUGAUCCUUUACAGGAAAUUACUUUGCUACAGUCGCAUGCUAAGAUGCAGACGACCCACAAACCCGACAGAACACCAACACUAAUAGCCGUCAAGUAUGAUGCAUCUGCAGCAAUGGAGGUUGAUCAAACCUUGAAAGCUGGUAAUUCCUACAGGUGUCCCAACUUUUCUAGAUUACUUCCAACCCCUCUGUCUGCAUAAAGUAGUGUUUGAACACACCGUGGAACCCUCCGGAGCAUUAUCUGAACAGCAUUGUACCACAGAAAGUAGUGUGUUGAAAUAAAAAUGGAGAGGAAAAGGCAAUUAAAAAUAGAAAACAGACAGACCAUCAUAACACUUAAUAAUGGAGAGAAAUUGUGAAGAAAGUCAAGGUGUCAAUGAGUCCAGUUUUCUUCUCCAUCAAAAGGCUCAGAAACUGGAGAAAACUGUGACAGGAAGAGGUCUGGAAGACCCAAAGCCACAACAGAACCAGAAGAGAAGUUUCUGAGAGUCAGCAGCUUGGUGAUGGAAGCUCACAGGACAACAGCUUCAAUCAGCUUCAUAGUGGUGGUAGUAUGUACAGGUCAAGUUGCAGCAAGAAAAUCGUUGCUAAGACGUCAGAAGAAGAAAAACAGGGCCAUGAAACACCACCAAUGGACUACUGAAGACUGGAAGAAGGUGUUAUGGACUGAUGGAUCAAAAUUUGAAAUCUCUGGUUCAUCAGCAGCAUUUUUGCACAUCGCUGAGUAGGAGAAAGGAUGGUUCCUCAGUGAAUGACAUCAACUGUUAAACAUGGAGGGAGGAAGUGUGAUGGUCUGGGGCUCCUCAUUAUGCUGGCCACCUUUGAUAAAAAUCACCUACAUCCUCAGCUGAACAGAUUGUGCGAUUCUACCCCUGUAGUAUUAGGACCCAGGUCAAGGUUCAAUGAGGUGUGGUUCAGUUUUUAUGUGUUUUCUGAAAAACCUGAAAAAAUUACUGAGGCCAUUAUCUUAAGAGUGUCAAUAUUAUACCAACAACAUUCUAGAUAAGGUUCUACUUCCAGUUUUGGCCGAGAGGAAAACAUCGGGGCCUGCUGUGGCUGAACAGGAAAUGUUGAACAGAACUGGUAUUGAUGAUAGAUGGUGGCCCUGCUCACGCUGCCCUUAUUACCCAGCAGUGGUGUUCUGAGCUACCUGGCAUUAACCCUCCGUUUGUCCUCAUUUACGGGCAUCAAAAAAUAGCUUCCUUGUCUGAAAAAAAUCCAAAAAUUCAGCAAAAAGAAUUCUGAGAAUUUGCCAAACCUUCAAGAAGGAAAUUCCAGUAAUUCCUUACAAGUUUCCCUGAAAAAAAUUAUUUUUAAAAAAAUCCCCCAAAUUUGUCAAGAAAAUUCUUGAAAAUAUUUUCAAAAGAUGAGUAAAAAUCUUCCCAAAAAAUUUUUAAAAAUAUCCAAAGUGAUUAAAUACAUAUCAGUAAAACUUCUGGUAUUUUCUUUAAGAACAUUCACAAAAAAAAAAAAAUCAACCAAAAUCCAGC